AUGUCUGACACUCAUGGGCUUACUGUCUCACUUGUUUUUGCUGAGGUAGAUUACAAGUAAUUUAUGUAAAUAAGCUUGGGAAGACCUGGGCUGUUGGCCAAUAUAUACAUACAUACAUAUAUAUAUAUAUAUAUAUGUACACAUAUAUAUAUAUAUUUAUUUAUUUUUUUUUUCUUUUUUCUUUUUUGUUAGAUGGAAUGUCAUGUUGCCCACACUGCCCUGUAUCUCCUUGGGAUCAAAGGAUUCCACUGCCUCAUCUUUUCAGGAAUGUUCUUACUGCUUUGGAGAUAUAAUGUAGCCUGAGCUGCAGGUUACCAUGGUGAUAUAGCCAUACAGGAUGACUUCAAGACUACAUCUUACUGAGUUUUCUUCGAGGAGAAUUGAGGAUUGUUGUCUUUUGGUGAUAGACGGUACUUAAACUUGACCCUCCCUGCCAUUUCUUUUAAGAAUAAUUAAAGAACAUUGCUAUUGGUGGAUGUUCUGACUGAUUAUUUUCCAAAGUAGGUAACAUUUAUUUUCUUUAGACUUUCCUUUACUGUGACCUUUCCCCCAGUACAGCAUCUUUUAUCUUCUCUAGACAUUUGAUAACCUUGUAUUACCUCAGAC
rnacentral:lncRNA from 1 species